GCUUCGGUGGCGGAAUGGUAGACGCAGUAGACUCAAAAUCUACCGGUAGUAAUACCAUGUGGGUUCAAGUCCCUUUCGAAGCACCA
rnacentral:tRNA from 1 species